rnacentral:misc_RNA from 1 species
UUUUUUUUUUUUUUCUCUUUGAAUUUCUUUCAAUCUUUAAUUUGGUAUUUUUAAGGUUCCAAAUUGUGUUGUUUGUGAAAUUUCAGAUUUUAAUUUCUUUUAGAUAGAGAUUCUGUAUUCAGGCUCAAAAAAAGUUUGUGCAAUUGAUUAUUGCCUAUUAAUAUUUUGUUGUAUUUUUGGACAAUAGUUUAGCUUACUGUUUUGUUGACAGACAAAUCAUUUGUGAUGAUGUUCUUCUUGGGUGAUUUCAUGUGAGUGUGUAAACCAAUGUUUGAAAAUACUGAAGUCAUUUCAUAAUGCUGUUACUGAUUUCUGUUUUUCUAUGCGGUGCCAUGUCCUUCAACAGUCCAAAUUGGCAGCCAUUUUGGCAUCUUUCAUUAUUCAUAAACCUCGAUAGCACUUACCUUUUACCAAGGCUGCACUAACAACGCAAGAAAACAUUGGAACUUUGGAACAGUUUAUAAUAAAGCAUCGGAAGGAUUAUGUGGAUCUCCACCAAACCACUGAAUAGGAGAGAGAUAGUACUAAACAUGAGGUUAUGGCAUUUAUCAAAGCAUGUAAAGAACAAAUUGAUUUUCUUAAAAAUAACAUAAAUGAUGAAGAAGCAAACACUAAAGGUUGGCUUGGCAUUAAGGGGGACAGCUCAAAUACUGAUACGGUAGCACACAAAAGUGGUAACUCCAUUCAGUAACAUCACAGUUUGAUCAACUAAGAGCCAUGUGGUUCAAAGAUGCUAUUAAUAAAAGGAUGCCAAGAAGGAAACCUAACCGGGUUGCAAAUCCAAGUUCCACAGAUUCACCUAAAAUAAACAAUUCAGAGUUCAGGGAACCUGAUGAAAUUCAAGCAGAGCCUCUUAGAGUUCAGCAGCAAUUAUUGGAUGAUGAAACUCGUGCACUUCACGUAAUCUGCAUAGUUUUUGUUUGGUGGAGUUGACUAGUCUUCUAGAUUCAGUUCAACAAACUGAAACUAAAAUGGUUGAAAUGUCUGCAUUGAAUCAUUUAAUGUCCACACAUGUUCUAAAACAAGCACAGCAGAUAGAGCUCCUGUAUGAACAGGUUGGAACAUUGUUGCUUAUGGCAAUUGUGAACAGAAUGUCAUUUUCCUUGUGAACUUGGGGUUGAAAAGGAGCACAAAAUCUGUCAACGUCAUUUAGGCAGUUGAAGCCACAAAGAAUGUUGAACUUGGUAACAAAGAGUUGUCUCAAGCUAUAUACAGCGAAAUAGCAGCAGCAGGACUUUUCUCUUGCUUUUUCUGUUUGUAUUUACUUUUUCAAUCAUCUUUCUUGAGUGGUAUAGUUAAUUGGAUCAUUCUAUCGUUCCCAUAUCAUAUACACUUAAGGGAGUGCUUCACCUUGUGGCUUUCUUUGAUGUACAAACAAAAUGGGAGAAAAAGGUAGACAGAUUGAAAUUUGAGCAAAUUGGUUUUAGUUAGUUUCUAGUAAAUGUUGAAAUUGAAAACCUUACUCUUGUUGCCAUAAAUCUCAUUUUGCUGGUCGACAUGCAUUCUUUCAGGUCACAAUUUGUCAUGCUACCUGUCAUUUCGGCUGAGAGGAUUGUUUGAAUUUUGUAUGGAGGAUGAAUGAUUGGGUUAGUUUUUCAUUGAACUCACAUUUUCAGUUAACACUGAUUCUCGUUUCUAUUUUCUGUAACAAAAGGAAGGAAAGGAAACAAAAAGAUUCGCAAACAAAUGGAUUGGAUCAAUGAUUCCAUAAAAUCAGCUUUCGAAUGCUUCAACAUUGAGUCCAUAAAUGAAAAGCGCUUUGUACAUUACACGACAACGGAGUCUCUGAAUUGAAGCAGCAACACCAUUGUUGGCAAGGCGGGAAUCUGAGUGUGUAAAUUUAAUCACUCUAUGCCCUUUUAACAAGGAAACAAUGUUCUUCCUGUAAUAACUAGGCUGCACAAAAUAAUCAAAUCAACAUUUUAGAGUAUAAUAUAAGCUGUGAAGUUUCAGGUGUAAAAAGUCUAAAAGCAUACCUUGGACCAAGAGACAGGAGGUUUCUGUAAUGGCUUUACUGAUGCAAAUUGUUCUGGAACAGACUCCACAACUUCAAUAUCAUCUUUCAGAACUUCAAUGAAGUGCUUCCAAUCAAAGAUAUCUUUAAAAUCACUGAAUCAAUCAAUUUCGUUAAAAAAAAUAACUUUUUUACUUGCAUAUAAUAAUUAAAUGUACAGAAAAUAGACAAACCUGGAAUCUGUCCAAAAGGAAGAAUUAUCUAAUGACGGAAGAACCAAAGUAGCAUUCAUAAUUUUGGCUAUAGCAACCAUAUCACUUAUCUGCAAUCCAAAAAAAUUGAACCCAAAAAAAUAAUUGCAUAAUUAAAUCAUCAAUUGCUUGAAAUGCUGAUUUGGAUUCGAUCCGGCUGAAUCAAGUUUAUGGUAUCUUACCCCUAUUUUCAUUUGAUUCAAUCCACCAUUUGCAUGAACUAGAACGUACCCAUUUGUGGCCUUUGAAAUCCCUAGAAGGUACUUGAAAGUUACAAAAACAAGUAAAUGAUGGUUAAAGGGAAAAAGGACAAACUAAGAAAGGUAUAAAAGGAAAAUAAUAUUCUGAACAUACUUUUUUCGCUUGUGGAUCGGUUAAUACAUUUAUAGAAGUUAUCACUGUUGGGCUUCAUCCAAAUUUCUGGAUUCUGAGAAUGAAAAUAAAAUGAAAUUAAAUUGGGUUCACAAUCUAAUUAAAAGUGACUGAAAAUGAUACAUCAACUGUAUUAUUGUCAGCAACUUCACAAAAAGAACUUAAAACCUAAUGAUAUGUAUAUGCAAUUUUGAUAAAAACAACACCAACAAUAUAUCACACUUGACAUGCUUGUUAUGUACAAAAAUUCAUCUGGAGUUGGCAAAUGGGCAGGGAUUUGUUUGUACACGUUUCUACAAUCUGUUACACGUGCUUCCUGCGUUUUAGCUCCUUUAAUGGCUCCUAGUAGGUUCUGGGUAUCCAUGGCUACCUAAAGAAAAACCCAAAAACCAACCAUACAAUCCUAGCUAAUGCAUUAGCUGGUUAGCCUGACGAUAAGUGUAUCUCUCAAUUCGGGCAAAGUUUCGGGUUUGAAUUCCAGGUUCAGAAACAAGAGCCUGUGAAUGAAGAAACCAAUAAAACUAACAACGAAAAUCAUACGAGAAAAUUCAUGCACAUUUUGCUUGGAAGCCAAAACAGAAACGGGGAACUUUAAGAAUUAAGAGACUGAUCAGCUACGGAGAAGACUUUAGGUUCCACGUAAGUUCGAAAUUGCAUAAAAAUGUACGUGCAAAUAUACAUGUUUUCAAGAGUUCUAGUCUAACCGGAAUCAUCUGGGAAGAAGGAGUCUGCCUGGAUUCUUGAUCUCCAUAAUUUCUUUCCUUCACAACAUUGUUCACAGAUGAGUCAUCCACAACUACUGUUGGUUGAAUAAUCAAAUGACUUUUCUCCGACUUCUGCAAGCUAUUUAGCAAUGCAACCUUGGUAAGCAUUGUCAGGGAAGCCAGAACCAUCAAGCUCACAAACAUCCAUCGUCCAAGAAUCUUCCCCGGCCGUAACAGUUCCGGUAAGUAUCGUGCUCUUUUGUGCAAGAACGCAGCCUGGUUUCGCAUCGACAUGGUUCCUGACCCUCCAUCUUGUGAUUCUAUCAACUCUAUCACUCCACGUCUUCUCGUCUUGUACGCAGGGGUGACGCUGCAUGAGUUCUGUCCAGAGCCUGACAUGGCCAACCCAGAAAGACAGAUGGUAGAAAGAAGUGCAAAUUGGGAUUAUGAGAUUGUUCAAGGAAAAGUGCAGAGCCGCAGAGGUCGAGUUGACGGUUGAUGGAACUUAGAUUUUUUUUUCUUUUUUCCUAUUUUCCUGUGCACUUUCUCUGUUAAUAAUGGGAGCGAAAUAGAGGGCGUAAGAGACUCAUUUGUUCUAAAUUAAUUAGUGUGGUGAUGGAGAAAGGAGUUUUGGGAUUUCAAUUGCAUGCUUAACCAUCAAAUUGUUAGACAAUAAAAGAGUUCUA